AUUGAACGCUGGCGGCGUGCUUAACACAUGCAAGUCGAUCGGUAACAGGUGUAGCAAUACAUGCUGACGAGAGGCAGACGGGUGAGGAAUAUUUGGGAAUCUGCCCAUCAGCGGGGGACAACCCGGGGAAACCCGGGCUAAUACCGCAUACGCUCUACGGAGGAAAGCCGGGGACCGCAAGGCCUGGCACUGAUGGAUGAGCCCAAAUCGGAUUAGCUAGUUGGCGGGGUAACGGCCCACCAAGGCGACGAUCCGUAGCUGGUCUGAGAGGACGAUCAUCCACACCGGAACUGAGACACGGGCCGGACUCCUACGGGAGGCAGCAGUGGGGAAUAUUGGACAAUGGGGGAAACCCUGAUCCAGCGACGCCGCGUGGGUGAAGAAGGCCUGCGGGUUGUAAAGCCCUUUCGGUAGGGACGAAAGCUCUUGCUCUAAUAAUGCAAGAGGUUGACUUAACCUACAUAAGAAGCACCGGCUAACUCUGUGCCAGCAGCCGCAGUAAUAC
rnacentral:rRNA from 1 species